AGGGAGAGUCCUUAUUGGUCUCUACCUCCCUGAUUCCCGAAUUGUCCUUCAUUGCCAUCAACCUUUUGUACUGAACUUUAUCCGAAUUUGUGUUUUCCCCCAUUUUCUCAUUAGAUCUCCCCAAGUAGAAACAUUGUGUCAUCGAUUUCUUCAUGUUUGCUCCUAGCUGCAUACUUACCUUCCCCAUCAAGUUUGACUCUGCUUUCAGGGCUAGAGAGAAAGGUAAAUCGUCUUCUGGUAAUUCCUUAGAAUCUGCUGGAGUGUCAUUGCAUUCCUUUAUUACAUGUCUCAUACACCUACAUACAAAGCAAAAGCCAGGCAAAUUUUCAGGCUUAAAAGAGACCCAAAAUUUUUUUUGCGAACCAGCCAGAAUGAAAAUCCCUCUACGUAGAGGCUUUUGCACGUCUAACUCCACUUUAAUACGGUAAAAAUUCUCAAUUAUUUUCGAACUAAUGAUUCCUCCAAAAGUGGAUCCAAUCGCAUGUGUAAGAUCUUCAAAAGAUGUCGCCCCUCUCCAUAGACACCUUCAUCACCGCCCUACUCGAAACCCAACCACAACAAACCUGUUACUUU
rnacentral:lncRNA from 1 species